AGCUUUCAGACAAACACAUUAGACUGGAUCAUAAUGGAAAAUAGAAUCUUCUAAAUCUGAAAUCACAAGUGUGCCAAGAAUUUAGGGACUGACUGUAUUUCUGGGAACCUCUCAGCUUGUGGUCAUUCUUCUGACCACCUUGGAUAUGACACCAGUAUCUUUCUAAAGGCCAUGAAUGCUCACAGGAAAUUCAGUCACUGAAGAUGAAUCAAAAGGGAUUGAGAAUGCUGAGCCUCAAGUCAAAUCUUCACACAGUCGGUUGUCAAAGCAAGACAGAAAAUUGAGGAACAGAAGUCCUACAUCAUGUUUUUCCUGCAGACAUAUGAAGCAGAUCAUUGUUGUCUUCAGAUCCUACCAGGUUAUUUGGUUCUCUCAGCUCUACCUUUCCCUAUCCCCCUGACCUUCUGCAAAUUUGUGGACUCCUUUUCAAGCUAGACCUGCAGUGACAACAAGAGCCACCAAGCUUAUAUGUCGAAGUCCCUUCCUUGCACAGGUGGCUUCCAGGCCUCUGAAAUCUAUUAGCAAUGUAAUGCAUUUUACAAAAUGUGCAAUAUUAAAAGUUUUAAC
rnacentral:lncRNA from 12 species